UAGGGAAUAUUGGACAAUGGGCGAAAGCCUGAUCCAGCAACACCGCGUGUGCGAAGAAGGCCUUCGGGUCGUAAAGCACUUUUUGGAAGGAAUAGGAAGGAAUGUACUUCCAGAAUAAGUCUCGGCUAACUACGUGCCAGCAGCCGCGGUAACACGUAGGAGGCAAACGUUAUCCGGAUUUACUGGGCGUAAAGCGCGUGUAGGUGGUACUGUAAGUAGGGCGUGAAAGCUCCUGGCUCAACUGGGAGAGGCCGUUCUAAACUACAGAACUAGAGGAUGGUAGAGGGAGGUGGAAUUCCAGGUGUAGCGGUGGAAUGCGCAGAUAUCUGGAGGAACACCGGUGGCGAAGUCGGCCUCCUGGACCAUUCCUGACACUCAGACGCGAAAGCGAGGGUAGCAAACG
rnacentral:rRNA from 1 species